rnacentral:rRNA from 1 species
AGAGUUUGAUCCUGGCUCAGGAUGAACGCUGGCGGCGUGCCUAACACAUGCAAGUCGGACGAAGAGGCCCCCUUCGGGGGGUACUUCAGUGGCGAACGGGUGAGUAACACGUAGGUGACCUACCCCGAAGCAGGGGAUAACGGCUCGAAAGGGUCGCUAAUACCCAAAAGGAUCGCGUUUCGCAGCGCGAUCAGAGUUCCCCUUCGGGGGAGCGUUUCGGGAGGGGCCUGCGGCCCAUCAGCUUGUUGGUAGGGUAACUGCCUACCAAGGCGAUGACGGGUAGGGGGCCUGAGAGGGUGACCCCCCACACUGGCACUGACACACGGGCCAGACUCCUACGGGAGGCAGCAGUGAGGGAUAUUGCACAAUGGGCGAAAGCCUGAUGCAGCAACGCCGCGUGGGUGAAGAAGGCCUUCGGGUCGUAAAACCCUUUUCUGGGGGAAGAGAGAGGACGGUACCCCAGGAAUAAGGUUCGGCUAACUACGUGCCAGCAGCCGCGGUAAAACGUAGGAACCGAGCGUUAUCCGGAUUCACUGGGCGUAAAGCGCCUGCAGGCGGUUCUGUAAGUUGGACGUGAAAUCUCCCGGCUCAACUGGGAGGCGCCGUUCAAUACUGCAGAACUUGAGGACAGAAGGGGGAAGUGGAAUUCCCGGUGUAGUGGUGAAAUGCGUAGAUAUCGGGAGGAACACCAGUGGCGAAGGCGGCUUCCUGGUCUGUACCUGACGCUAAGAGGCGAAAGCUAGGGGAGCGAACGGGAUUAGAAACCCCGGUAGUCCUAGCCGUAAACGAAGGACGCUAGGUGUAGGUGGUCCUAACCCCAUCUGUGCCGAAGUUAACGCGUUAAGCGUCCCGCCUGGGGACUACGACCGCAAGGUUAAAACUCAAAGGAAUUGACGGGGCCCCGCACAAGCAGCGGAGCGUGUGGUUUAAUUCGAUUCUACACGAAGAACCUUACCCAGGUUUGACAUGCAGGUAGUAGUGAAACGAAAGUGGAACGACCCCUCGGGGAGCCUGCACAGGUGCUGCAUGGCUGUCGUCAGCUCGUGCCGUGAGGUGUUGGGUUAAGUCCCCUAACGAGCGCAACCCUCGCCGUUAGUUAUACGUGUCUAGCGGGACUGCCGGUUUAAAACCGGAGGAAGGUGGGGAUGACGUCAAGUCAGCAUGGCCUUUAUGCCUGGGGCUACACACACGCUACAAUGGCCAGUAUAAUGGGUUGCCAACCCGCGAGGGGGAGCCAAUCCCACAAAGCUGGUCUCAGUUCGGAUUGGAGGCUGCAACUCGCCUCCAUGAAGCCGGAGUUGCUAGUAAACGCGCGUCAGCUAUAGUGCGUUGAAUACGUUCCCGGGGCUUGUACACACCGCCCGUCACGUCAUGGGAGCUGGCAACACCUGAAGCCGGUGGGCUAACCGCAAGGAGGCAACCGUCGAGGGUGGGGCUGGUGACUGGGACGAAGUCGUAACAAGGUA